rnacentral:rRNA from 1 species
UGGGCUCGAAAUGUAGUGGACCGGGGUGGAAACAUCCCUUCCCCGCAAGGGGCCGCUAUAUAGGUGCUGCAUGGCUGUCGUCAGCUCGUGUCGUGAGAUGUUGGGUUAAGUCCCGCAACGAGCGCAACCCUUAUCUCCAGUUGCUACCAUUUAGUUGAGCACUCUGGCGAAACCGCCUCGGAUAACGGGGAGGAAGGUGGGGAUGACGUCAAGUCCUCAUGGCCUUUAUGUCCAGGGCUACACACGUGCUACAAUGGCCGGUACAAACCGUCGCAAACCCGUGAGGGGGAGCUAAUCGGAAAAAGCCGGCCUCAGUUCGGAUCGCAGUCUGCAACUCGACUGCGUGAAGCUGGAAUCGCUAGUAAUCGCGGAUCAGAACGCCGCGGUGAAUACGUUCCCGGGCC